CAGCCGCCGCGGUAAUACGUAGGUGGCGAGCGUUGUCCGGAAUCAUUGGGCGUAAAGGGAGCGCAGGCGGGCAAGUAAGUCUUUCUUAAAAGUUCGGGGCUCAACCCCGUGAUGGGAAAGAAACUACAUGUCUUGAGUACAGGAGAGGAAAGCGGAAUUCCCAGUGUAGCGGUGAAAUGCGUAGAUAUUGGGAGGAACACCAGUGGCGAAGGCGGCUCACUGGACCGACACUGACGCUGAGGCGCGAAAGCGUGGGGAGCAAACAGGAUUAGAUACCCCUGUAGUCCCUGUCUCUUAUACA
rnacentral:rRNA from 1 species